AAUGAUCAUGAGUUAAACAAUUAAUCAGACACUACCAGGCAUUAAUUUGCUAUUUUGUGUUAGAUUUUUUUGCGUCGCGUUUUUUAUGAAUAUAAUUUUGUGUUAAGCGUUAUUAUAAAUGAACACAGUGUAUGACUCAUAAUGUUAAGAAAUGUUCAUACUACUGUAUAAAGUAAAGGUUUCAUCAUUUUCUGUACUGUCUUUAAAAUUAUAUUAAACAAAAGUCUACAAAUACUUUAACAAUAAUGUGCACACUUUAUGCAAUGUGGUUUAUAGAAUGAAUUUAUUGAUGAAGAUAUACUUGAUGUAGACAAUGAUACAUGUUGUUUAUCAAAACAAUAUUUAAAAAAAAUAUGAAUUUUUUUCCAUGACUGUAGAACAACACUACUCGUAUAUAUGUAUGUAUGUAUGUAUGUGGCAGUAAUGUACUACCCAAUUUUAUUGACAUUUGUUUUAAAUGAUUAUACUAACU
rnacentral:sRNA from 1 species